rnacentral:rRNA from 2 species
AAAAAGAACCUGAAACCGUGUACGUACAAGCAGUGGGAGCACAGGUUUACCUGUGUGACUGCGUACCUUUUGUAUAAUGGGUCAGCGACUUAUAUUCUGUAGCAAGGUUAACCGAAUAGGGGAGCCGGAGGGAAACCGAGUCUUAAUUGGGCGUUAAGUUGCAGGGUAUAGACCCGAAACCCGGUGAUCUAGCCAUGGGCAGGUUGAAGGUUGGGUAACACUAACUGGAGGACCGAACCGACUAAUGUUGAAAAAUUAGCGGAUGACCUGUGGCU